AUGCUCGGCCUUCCAGCCCGCCGUGAAGUUGCUCCGAAAUCGCCGGGAUCGCAGCGGCCAACUGAGCAGGCGGAGCGCGCGGCCCUACAUUCCGCGCGGCCCCGGGAAGGGGGCGGGGACUGGGCGGAGCCUCUGCCACCCUCCAUUCCUGCAGCGACCCAGGGGGACUCGGCCCGCUGAGUGGCCGGCAUGCCCGCCAAUCACUAAGUGCUGUCGCAAAUCACGGAGCGCCUCGCCUUGCAGCGACUUGCUCUCUGGGGUUGCCAGGAGGACAGAUGGCGCCCAGAAGGCGGGUCCGGCCGGCCCACGACUUAAGUUUCCGAGUGGACUCGGCCCCGGCCCUGCCCCCUUGCCGCUCCGCCUCCAGGAUAUCCCUACCCUGACCCAAGCUUGGUCUGAGAGGUGUGGUUUGGAGAUCAAAGCUACAGUCUAGUUCCCGUGCUGUGCUUCUUCCUUUCCUGAACCGCACAUCUCACUGCACCUGUUCCGGUGAUCUGCAGCAACAGUUCAGGCUGACGAAGACUGCAUCUCCAUCUUAUCAGGAGGAGGUAGUCCAGGAAUCACAGGACAAGCAGUGGGAGUAUGAGUUGCUGAUGGUCACACAGCUCAUGACACAGGGCCGUGUGCUACAUCAGGCCCACGACUACUGACACCUCCACACUCCCCAGAGCGUACGUGUACACACUCCAUUGUCUCUCAGGGCGCUGAGGCUCUGUGUGAGUCUGAGUCGUGAUUUACCCACCUCUGAAGGCAGAGUGACACCCAGCCUUGUGCCGCUUGCUGGUUUAAGCGAGGGGCUGGUGAGAUGGCUCAGGAGGUAAGAGCACC